UGGGGAAUAUUGCACAAUGGGGGGAAACCCUGAUGCAGCAACGCCGCGUGAGGGAAGAAGGUUUUCGGAUUGUAAACCUCUGUUUUUAGUGAAGAAACAAAUGACGGUAGCUAAAGAGGAAGCCACGGCUAACUACGUGCCAGCAGCCGCGGUAAUACGUAGGUGGCAAGCGUUGUCCGGAUUUACUGGGUGUAAAGGGUGCGCAGGCGGGACUGCAAGUUGGAUGUGAAAUACCGAGGCUUAACUUCGGGGCUGCAUCCAAAACUGUAGUUCUUGAGUGGAGUAGAGGCAAGCGGAAUUCCGAGUGUAGCGGUGAAAUGCGUAGAUAUUCGGAGGAACACCAGUGGCGAAGGCGGCUUGCUGGGCUCUAACUGACGCUGAGGCACGAAAGCA
rnacentral:rRNA from 1 species